rnacentral:misc_RNA from 1 species
CAAUGAUAUUCUUAAGGCUGAUUGCGUGAAUUUGUUGGUUAAAUAUUACAAAGAAGCCAAGCGCGGUGUUUGCUUGAGUGAUGAAGUAGAUGAUGUAUCUUCCCGACGAGGUGAGAAGAGUGUUUCACAUCUGGGAGAGAGAACAAUGAGCUUGAAAUCUGUGGAGGUCAAAUCUAAAACCAGGGGAGGUGGAAGAUGUUGCAUAUGCUUUGAUCCAUUUUCUAUACUGAAUGUAUCAAUCAUUGCAUUCUUUUGUUGUCAUGCGUAUCAUACAACAUGUCUUAUGGAGUCCUCCAUAUCCGUCGGUGGCAAAAAAGAGGCAGGAGUUGCUGCCCAGAGGACUACCUCAUAUGAUGAAUAUCCUAAUGGUGUUAACGAUGACUAUGAGGAUGAGGAUGAGGAAGAG